CCUACGGGGGGCUGCAGUGAGGAAUAUUGGUCAAUGGGCGGAAGCCUGAACCAGCCAAGUAGCGUGCAGGAUGACGGUCCUACGGGUUGUAAACCGCUUUUAUACGGGAACAAAGCGCCUUACGUGUAGGGGUUUGCAUGUACCGUAUGAAUAAGGAUCGGCUAAUUCCGUGCCAGCAGCCGCGGUAAUACGGAAGGUCCGGGCGUUAUCCGGAUUUAUUGGGUUUAAAGGGUGCGUAGGCGGUCGGAUAAGUUAGAGGUGAAAUCCCGGGGCUCAACUUCGGAAUUGCAGUUGAUACUGUUCGGCUAGAGAGUAGUAGCGGUAGGCGGAAUGCAUGGUGUAGCGGUGAAAUGCUUAGAGAUCAUACAGAACACCGAUUGCGAAGGCAGCUUACCGGGCUACAACUGACGUUGAGGCACGAAAGCGUGGGGAGCAAACAGGAUUAGAUACCCUGGUAGUC
rnacentral:rRNA from 1 species